rnacentral:lncRNA from 1 species
UCCAUAUGAACCAUUUAUUGAAUAAAUACAUGCAUCAUAAUGUAGAAUUACAUGAGCAAAAAAGGCAAUCUGUACAAAAUUGAUUACCCUUUGUUCUCAUUUAAACUCUCACCAUUUGCUGCAGCUCUGAUAAAGGAUCCAAGACAGAAAAUUAAAAGUCUUUUAAUCCAAAUCCAAGUGAUACGCAUGCUGAUUUGAGUUCAGGUUAUACCACUGCGAUUAUUAAGAAAACUGGUUUUCUUGUCAGUGAAGCGGAGUAAUUCUAAAAACAGUUUCAACAGUAGAGAACAUGUGUUGGUACAUACAGGUAACAAAGCUUAUUUAUUUUUAGCCAUUUCUUAAACAUCUUCAUAUGUCCAUAUUUUAAGGCACAGGAUAAACAAGAACUACAUGAAAAGCUGUCAGUUGAUACUGAAUACAUUGACCUGAUAAUGAGGCGCAGGUUUUGCCCAGAGCAAAAAUGAUGUUCAUCCUUCCUAAUUCCAUAUAAACAGUACAAUCAGAAUUUGGUAACUAUAAUACAGAGGUUUGUUUCCACUAUUAAAAGAAUCAAUCUCAUCUAGGCAGUCGUAUUCUGACCCAAAUUCACUCAGGAGAACAUUUCUAGAGUUUGGCAUCCAGGAUUAAUUACAGGCAAUGGGAAUUUACUGUUGCUAAAUUACAAUGACAAUGAUAAUACAAUCUCUUCAUUUUAGAUUCCCUAAAUGGGAACGGGGCUCUCUUAAGAGUCUAUCCCUGAUUUUAGGUUGAGAGCUAUUUUGGAAAUCUGUCCUAUAUACUUUAUUCAGUUACUGUGUGCUAUCAUCUCACAUUUACCCAAAAACAGGAUUAUUUCACCCCUUGAGGCUUUAGAAGACAGAAUGUGCACUUUUUUUUGUUCAAGUGCAGUUUUCUAACACCUGUCCUCAGACUCUGCUUAAGACUUGAACACCAAAUCAGUUUAACAGCCCAUUUGUUGGCUAUGGAUCAAUCUCUGGGGAGUCACUGGGCAAGAUGUACAGCAGAAGUUCUUCCAUCUCGGGCUGAACCAAGGCAAAAGAUAAUUACGCUGCACUGCUGCUCUUAGACCUCCUUUAUUUAGAUCAGCUUUUGCUUUCUGCAUUUUCAUUGCAUUAACAACAAUUCUCUGUCUUUCCAUUCUUAACAUUUUAAUGGAAAACUAGCAAAGAAAAUAUGUAUUUUGUAAUAUAUUACAUUUUAUAUGAAUACAUGAGUGUGUAUAUAUAUAGAUACUCAUACAUUCCAAUAUAGAGUGAAGCCUUCAAAUGGAAAUGUUUUUUUUUGACAAAGAACCUUGCUCUAUUUCCCAGUCCAUCAGAAAGUAACAGCAGCAAAAUUAAGAUUAUAAGUUUGUCUUUCUUGCAGCAGACUUUGGCAAUGCUUCAGUAGAAUGCCAUGGUUUCUCAGGAAACAUCUGUGGACUGCGGAAGUGCAUUAUUCUCCAUGCACCAAACACACUAAGUAGCAAUGAAGCAACUGUAAAGACAGCCAGUUUCAACUCAGAUUCACACUUUCUUACCUAUUGGUGUUCCAUUUAAGUAUUACAGAAGGUAUAGCAUAACAUACUAUUUAGCACAGUAUUGUUUAAUAAAAACAUGUCUUGCACAUAUGCCUACUGUAUGAACUUACACUGCAAGCUGAUUUGUAUACCUUAUAGAUCAGUGAAACAUGGCAGUAAGAAUCGUUCCAAGUGGUUAGAGAUUUUGUUUAUAAUACAGAAAAAUCCUUGUCCUCAUACCUU